rnacentral:sRNA from 1 species
AUCGAAUAAACUAACAUAAUACGAAUAGGGAAUGCUGAUAAAUCAACGUUUUUCAACUUAUGAAAUACUUGGUUUUCAUAAAAAUGAUAUGGUUACCUACCAAAGUUCCCUGUCAAGCAAUCACUUGGCAGGGAAUUUUUG